rnacentral:tRNA from 1 species
GGUCUAUUAGCUCAAUUGGUUAGAGCGUCGUGUUAAUAACGCGAAAGUCACAUGUUUGCAUGAGUCAAUCCAUAUGAAACUUACGGAUUGGUCA